UUUCCUGGUUUUACAACCCAGGAAUAUAUAACCACUUAUAUCUUACACAGUCUUGAUUUAAUUUGCAGAUUCACUGAGCACAUUAAAUUUACCAGAGCAAAGUACAAACCCUAUAUCUGUUUCUGCUGAUGGUGAGGGGGGAAAUGUAUCUGAGAAGCAGGUCUCCCCUGACAAGCAAAUCCGAGCUGCCCUUCUGAGAAGCCGCUUUGCUGAUACGAUCCUUAAGGCUCGUGAAAAGGCCCUUGAUCAGACUACAAAGAAGGAUCCCGAGAAGCUUCGACGCGAAAGGGAGGAACUUGAGAGGGUACAAAGAGAAGGUGAGAUGCAAUA